ensembl:lncRNA
CCAGCAUGAGGAUUGAUGAUCAGUCUGGUCCCUGGGCUGCUGGUUGGCGACCCUGCACAUAGCAGGGGGUUGGAACUGGAUGAGCACUGUGGUCCUUUUCAACCCAGGCUAUUCUAUGAUUCCUUCUAUAGUGAGCCUCAUCACGGUGAGGAAGACAUUUAUUGAUAAAUAAUCAGCCACAGUACACUUGGGAGCAGCACCAUACAUCUGUGUCUUCACCAACCCCCUGUAAGUGGCAUUGUAAACAUGCUGGAGAAAUGACAAAAUCAGAGACAGAACAUCAAACAAGAGAUAUGGGCAUCAUUUUUAUAACGGCAAAUAUAUCUCAGGUUAAAAACACAGAAUGAAGGCUUUAAAGUGGGAGUCGUUGGGCAAAAGCAUGUCAGUACAUAACAUCACAGCAGUAGCUAAUUUAAUGACUUCAAAGACAUUUGUCUCGGGUUCUUACAUUUGGAAUCUAAAUUUAAAUGUUUCUGGGGAUGUCUUUAAGUAUUCAGGACUACUUGUCUUUAUAAUUGGUAGAGAAAUUGCAGUAAAUGAAAGCCUGCUCUGCCAGCUCUCCCCUCCAUCUCCACCUCCAGGAUUUGUUCUAAACAUUACAUGCCCUGAAGAAGCUCAAAGUCACAUUUUAUUAAAUAGAAGAAAAAUAAUAAUAAAUUGAAAAGCAACGUCUGCUUCACACAAGACCAGAAGGCUUUUUCCAUGCUCUUCGAUAAGCUCUACCUGACCACCUGACUUGGAGUGUUCAGUCAUGAAUGGCAGCAGCUUUUUGAUGCCUGAAGAUGUUGUUGUAAAGUUUUGUAACAGUCAUCUUUCAGAGCAAUUAUACCUUUUAACCCUCAGGGUUAAAGAAAAAUGAAAAACAUCUGUAUGUUUUCCGAGUUUUUUGUUUGUUUGUUUGUUACUUUACCCUAAUGGACUGCACUAUUCUUUCCCCAAGGGUUUCAAGAAGCAAGCCCAGCCCUGGGCCUGAGCACAUGGCAAGUCCCAUCUGGGUACAGCAAGUGGGGAUACUGCUGAACAUCACUUCUUCUCCACUGAGAUGAAGCAAGUUCAGCCAUGAGGCCUUUGGGAAUCUGGGUAGCAAAUACAUUACGGUGAUAUCUGGGAGCAGCACAGCUUGUGCCUGAGGAUACCAGAGGAGACACCAGAAAGCUCACUCAGAUGGUGAAACUGAAGGAUGCUCUUACAGCAGCAGUGUUGUAAAAAGGAUCAGAGCAAUAGAAGAAUGAAGUCGGGAGAUGCAAAAGUACAAAUCCACCGCACAGCAGCUCUGGGAGCAGAUACACAAAAUGUUGUGAUCACAUCCAAGUUUCCCAAACAGCUGUUGCAAUAAUUUGGCAGUUCAGCUGAGCUUCGGAUUUCCAUCUCCAGCUACAAUAAAAUUCACGAUGCUUUACCUGAUUUCCCUCAGCCAGCCCAAAAGGCAUCAGCAGAUUCCUAUUUCCAUUCCAUCACCACUCAGAACGCUGGCUGCAAAGCUACCAGAAAAAAAUCAAUCCAUCUCAUUCUUAGUAUUCUCUAUUACACUUCCAGCAAGUUGUUUCAAUUACCUUUUAUCCAGCUUAGAAGAGGUAGAGAUAAUUAGUAAUGCACAGCCUCCUCCUGCAAUGCUGUGCACACGUGGAUGAUUAUUGACCCCCUUUUGGAGCCAAGAGCAGCUCAAGGACUUCGCCUUCUUAGCUCUCCUCUGCGACUAGACGUGGAAAAUGGAAACUAGAGAGGAUGUAAAGGCUCUGUGAGAUCUGCAAGGGCGCACCGCAACGGUGGACUCCCAG